GAUGUUAGCGGCGGACGGGUGAGUAACACGUGGGUAACCUGCCUGUAAGACUGGGAUAACUCCGGGAAACCGGGGCUAAUACCGGAUGGUUGUCUGAACCGCAUGGUUCAGACAUAAAAGGUGGCUUCGGCUACCACUUACAGAUGGACCCGCGGCGCAUUAGCUAGUUGGUGAGGUAACGGCUCACCAAGGCGACGAUGCGUAGCCGACCUGAGAGGGUGAUCGGCCACACUGGGACUGAGACACGGCCCAGACUCCUACGGGAGGCAGCAGUAGGGAAUCUUCCGCAAUGGACGAAAGUCUGACGGAGCAACGCCGCGUGAGUGAUGAAGGUUUUCGGAUCGUAAAGCUCUGUUGUUAGGGAAGAACAAGUGCCGUUCAAAUAGGGCGGCACCUUGACGGUACCUAACCAGAAAGCCACGGCUAACUACGUGCCAGCAGCCGCGGUAAUACGUAGGUGGCAAGCGUUGUCCGGAAUUAUUGGGCGUAAAGGGCUCGCAGGCGGUUUCUUAAGUCUGAUGUGAAAGCCCCCGGCUCAACCGGGGAGGGUCAUUGGAAACUGGGGAACUUGAGUGCAGAAGAGGAGAGUGGAAUUCCACGUGUAGCGGUGAAAUGCGUAGAGAUGUGGAGGAACACCAGUGGCGAAGGCGACUCUCUGGUCUGUAACUGACGCUGAGGAGCGAAAGCGUGGGGAGCGAACAGGAUUAGAUACCCUGGUAGUCCACGCCGUAAACGAUGAGUGCUAAGUGUUAGGGGGUUUCCGCCCCUUAGUGCUGCAGCUAACGCAUUAAGCACUCCGCCUGGGGAGUACGGUCGCAAGACUGAAACUCAAAGGAAUUGACGGGGGCCCGCACAAGCGGUGGAGCAUGUGGUUUAAUUCGAAGCAACGCGAAGAACCUUACCAGGUCUUGACAUCCUCUGACAAUCCUAGAGAUAGGACGUCCCCUUCGGGGGCAGAGUGACAGGUGGUGCAUGGUUGUCGUCAGCUCGUGUCGUGAGAUGUUGGGUUAAGUCCCGCAACGAGCGCAACCCUUGAUCUUAGUUGCCAGCAUUCAGUUGGGCACUCUAAGGUGACUGCCGGUGACAAACCGGAGGAAGGUGGGGAUGACGUCAAAUCAUCAUGCCCCUUAUGACCUGGGCUACACACGUGCUACAAUGGACAGAACAAAGGGCAGCGAAACCGCGAGGUUAAGCCAAUCCCACAAAUCUGUUCUCAGUUCGGAUCGCAGUCUGCAACUCGACUGCGUGAAGC
rnacentral:rRNA from 1 species